CACACACACACACACACAGAGAAACAGAGGAUACAGGUGUGUCAGCAAUUUAUGCUCAAAUCUAUUGAAGCAAAACUGUGGGUAACACAAAUAAGGUCAUUCUGUCUCUGAAGAACAAUCCCUAUUUAAGUAACUUCAAUCCAUCUUCUGCACCUGCUAAUUUUAGGGCUGCAGGGGCAGCGGCGUGUCCCAGCGGGCAUCAGGUGAAAGGCAGGUUACACCCCGGACGGGGCAACAGUCCAUCACAGAGAUAACGCUGAGACAAUUCCCCAGACUCGU